CCAUAAGUUAACCUUACAACAUAUUGUGAGAGAGAGAGAGAGAAUGAUAUUUAGGGUUGGAAGUGGCUUGUGCAUCUCUUUAUCCUUUCUGAUGAUCAUAGCUUUCUCUACUAUGCUAUGUGUUAAUGCUAGAGACACUCUUUUCUUCUCAUCAAAAUAUGAAGGUUCGGACACUGGUGGGAGGUCAUUAUUGACAAUAAACCUUGAAGACUAUGGUGAGCCAACAGCAAAUCAUGGGCAUGAUCCUGCUUUCAACAAAGCUGGUGGUAGAGAGCAUUCCCAUGUGGGAAGAAGCCGCAAAGGCUGAGAUUUUUAUUAGCCAUCUUAUCAUAAAUAUCUAUUUAUUAUAAUUAUAAUAUAUAUAAUUUUAAAA